UUGCUUUCUUGCUUGGGCAGGCGCUGCUCCUGCUUCCUUGCUUGCUUCGGUGAGUAAUUGCUGCUCCAGCUUGCCUGCUUGGGUGGGCGCUGCUCCUGCUUGCUUGCUUCGGUGAGUGCUGCUCCUGCUUGCUUGCAUGCUUGGGUGAGUGCUUCUCACCCAAAGCCUUUGGCAGGGUCCCUCAUCACAUCCUGCUCUCCAAGAUGGAGAGGUGUGGAUUUGAAGGAUGGACUGCUCGGUGGGUUAAGAAGUGCUCGGCUGGUCGCAGCCAAAGGGCUGUGCUCCAUGGUGCUGUGUCAGGGUGGAGGCCGGUGACGAGCGGUGUCCCCCAGGGCUCAGUCCUGGGCCCGGUGCUCUUCAGCAUCUUCACCAAUGACACAGACGAUGGCAUCGAGUGCACCCGCAGCAAGUUUGCAGAUGACACCGAGCUGAGCGGUGCAGCCGAUGCAUGGAGGGAAGGGAACCACCCAGAGGGACCCAGUGGGCGCACGAGAACCUCAUGAGGUUCAACAAGGCCAAGCGCAAGGUGCUGCACUCGGGCCGGGGCAAUCCCGGGUGUGCGUACAAAGAUGGGGGAAGAUCUCCCAGAGAGCAGCCCUGCAGAGAAGGACUUGGGGGUUCUGGUGGACGAGAAGCUGGGCAUGAGCCAGCAGCCAACCAUGUUCUGGGCUGCAUGAAAAGAGGAGCGGGCAGCAGGGACAGGGACGGGAUUGUCCCCUGCUACUGGGCUCCGGACAGGAGCUGGUCGACGUCGCUCGACACCCAUUGCAGCAAAUGGAGGUUUCUGCAUCCAGCGCAGGCCCUGCGCCCUCCCAGUGCUUAGCCCUCGUCCCCUACCGUGGGGGGCAGAGCUGGCCCUGGGAUGGGGCUUGGGUUAGGGAGGAGCUCAGGGCCCUCCCGGACCCCAUUCCUGUGCAGCCCGAUGCUUGCGAGCUGCCCGUGUCCAUCCUGGUGCCUGAAGCGGUGGACGCCAUUGAGGCCUUCGUGCAGAGCGCAGAGAAGCCGCAGGACAAGGAGCAGAGGAUGGAAUUCCUGCAGAGCAUCUGCACCGUCUGCAACACGGCGGUGGAGAGGAACCUGCCCUGCGGACUGAGCGCCUUCUGCUGCCGCAACAAGCUGGCUGAGAACAUCACGGAGCUGCUGGUAGAGGAGAAUCGGGGGAAGCUGUGCUUGGAACUGUGGCAGCUCGCCAUGGCCGCCAUCACCGCCCUCAGGGCAGGGCAGAGCAGCAGCUCCUCUUCCCGCAGGUGCUGCUGCCUUUCACCUGCUCGCAGAACGCGGUCGCGCGCCACGGGGCGGUGAGCUGGAUCUGGAAGCUGAGCCAGUCGUUAGCGGACUUGUGCCAGGGCAGGGUAAGAGGCCGACCCCCCCGGUGCGGGGGUCCUGGUCCCUCCUUUUCCCCGCUCUGCCCGGCCCGCUCCCAUGGCCGGGGCUGCACUCAGCGUUCCGCUCUCUGCGCGCAGCUCCCCGGCUUCUCAGGACUGAGCGGCUCGGUGCGCUUCCAAGCUCUCCAUGUGCCCGUGCUGGGGGAGCUGGUGGGAAAGCUGGUGCUGUGCUGCGCCGACCCGGAGAAGAAGCUGCGCUUUCACGCUUUGCGCGCCCUCCACCAACUCUACAGCUUCGUCCUGGAGAGAGCCCGUAAGACGACGGCUGCUGACCGCCUCCGUCCGUCGCAGACAUCCCACGGGGCCGAGCGUGGACGGCGCGGCGUCGGCUGCCGCUGCGAGCGGCGAAGCAAUGGAACCCCGUGGGGUUUUUUUCUGGGGGUGGUAGCUGCCCCCCACGGCCCCGCGCUCGGGGUUGGUGGGGGGUCAGCUGUCCCGCUCCCCGCACGCUGCUCACAUCUCGCGUCCCCUGUGGUUUGUUCUCGUUUCCAGGCUGGGAAGCGCAGUCGGAGGAGCAGGAGAAAUCCAAGGAGUGGCAAGCUGAGCAAGAGUUCUGCGUCACCUGGACCACCAACACCUCGAUCAUUGUGGCGGUGAGGAGAGCUCGCCACGCUGGGGCUCGUGGCCGUGGGCUCGGCAGGGAUAGGGGGAACACGGCUGAUGUUGCCAUGCCCCUCCUUCUCCCCCCCCCAGAAUUUUGUGAAGCACCUCCGCUCUUGGGAGAACACCGACCUCCUCCUCGUGGCGCUGCGGGGCAUGAGGGACCGCAGCAGCUACAACACCCAGGCGGCUGCCACCAUGCUGUCCGUCCUGAUGGUCCACCUCUACCCGACGGCCGACGACGUGAGCAACCGGCAGCUGCUUGCUGGGGGGCAGCGCCCAUGGGGGAGCGGGGUUGGGGUCAGGUUGGGUGCUGG
ensembl:lncRNA